rnacentral:rRNA from 1 species
GACGAGGGACCCUAGCGUUGUUCGGAAUCAUUGGGCGUAAAGCGGGUGCAGGUGGCUUUGUAAGUCAGGUGUGAAAGCCCAGGGCUCAACCCUGGAAGUGCAUUUGAUACUGCGAAGCUUGAGUGCUGGAGAGGUUACUAGAAUUCCAGGUGUAGUGGUGAAAUACGUAGAUAUCGAGAGGAACACCGGUGGCGAAGGCGGCUACCUGGACGGUGACUGACGCUGAGACGCGAAAGCGUGGGGAGCAAACAGG